rnacentral:rRNA from 1 species
CCUACGGGAGGCAGCAGUGAGGAAUAUUGGUCAAUGGCCGGAAGGCUGAACCAGCCAAGCCGCGUGAAGGACGAAGGUGCCAAGCAUUGUAAACUUCUUUUGUCAAGGGACAAAAUCAGGCUCGAGAGCCUGACCGAGGGUACUUGAAGAAAAAGCAUCGGCUAACUCCGUUCCAGCAGCCGCGGUAAUACGGAGGAUGCGGGCGUUAUCCGGAUUUAUGGGGUUUAAAGGGUGCGUAGGCGGACUGGUAAGUCAGCGGUAAAAGCCCGGGGCUCAACCCCGGCGAGCCGUUGAAACUGGCUGUCUUGAGAUGUCGAGAGGUAUGCGGAAUGCGCAGUGUAGCGGUGAAAUGCUUAGAUAUUGCGCAGAACUCCGAUUGCGAAGGCAGCGUACCGGCGCCGGACUGACGCUGAGGCACGAAAGCGUGGGUAUCGAACAGGAUUAGAUACCCCAGUAGUC